rnacentral:rRNA from 1 species
UUUGGCCUCGGAUCAGGCGGGGAUACCCGCUGAACUUAAGCAUAUCAAUAAGCGGAGGAAAAGAAACCAACAGGGAUUGCCUCAGUAACGGCGAGUGAAGCGGCAACAGCUCAAAUUUGAAAUCUGGCGCCUUCGGCGUCCGAGUUGUAAUUUGUAGAGGGAGUCUCGGGUUAGGGGUCGGUCCAAGUUCCUUGGAACAGGAUGCCGAAGAGGGUGAGAGUCCCGUAUCCGGCCGAGGCCCGCGCCCGUGUGAGGCCCCUUCGACGAGUCGAGUUGUUUGGGAAUGCAGCUCUAAAUGGGUGGUAAAUUCCAUCUAAAGCUAAAUACUGGCCAGAGACCGAUAGCGCACAAGUAGAGUGAUCGAAAGAUGAAAAGCACUUUGAAAAGAGAGUCAAACAGUACGUGAAAUUGUUGAAAGGGAAGCGUAUGUGGGCAGACUUGGACGUUGGAUUCAGCCCGUCUUCUGGCGGGUGUACUUUCCAGCGGACAGGCCAGCAUCGGUUCUGAGGGUCGGACAAAGACGAAGGGAAAGUGGCUCUCAGAUAUGGGAGUGUUAUAGCCCGGCGUGCAAUGCGACCACUUGGGACCGAGGACCGCGCUUCGGCAAGGAUGCUGGCGUAAUGGCCUCAUACGGCCCGUCUUGAAACACGGACC